ACGGAAGGCAGCAGUGGGGAAUAUUGCACAAUGGGCGCAAGCCUGAUGCAGCGAUGCCGCGUGAGGGAAGAAGUUUUUCGGAUUGUAAACCUCUAUCAACAGGGACGAAAAUGACGGUACCUGUGAAGGAAGCCCCGGCUAACUACGUGCCAGCAGCCGCGGUAAUACGUAUGGAGCAAGCGUUAUCCGGAAUUACUGGGUGUAAAGGGAGUGUAGGCGGGUCUGUAAGUCAGAUGUGAAAUAUGCCGGCUCAACUGGCAGACUGCAUUUGAAACUGGGGUUCUUGAGUGAAGUAGAGGUAAGCGGAAUUCCUAGUGUAGCGGUGAAAUGCGUAGAUAUUAGGAGGAACAUCAGUGGCGAAGGCGGCUUACUGGGCUUUAACUGACGCUGAGGCUCGAAAGCGUGGGGAGCAAACAGGAUUAGAUACCCUGGUA
rnacentral:rRNA from 1 species